rnacentral:misc_RNA from 1 species
CCUCCGUAGGUGAACCUGCGGAGGGAUCAUUACAGAGUUCGUGCCCUCACGGGUAGAUCCCCCACCCUGUGUUAUUAUACCUUUGUUGCUUUGGCGGGCCGCCCUCGGCUACCGGCCCCGGCUGGUACGCGCCCGCCAGAGGACCCCAAACUCUGAAUGUUAGUGUCGUCUGAGUACUAUACAAUAGUUAAAACUUUCAACAACGGAUCUCUUGGUUCUG